CCACCCCUAGAAGAAGGUGCUAAUGCUAGAACUCUCAGUAAUUAUCCUAGAUAAUUACUUAAUCAAUUAAUGUAUCUUUAUACCUAACACUUGUUUUUGUCUAUUUCAGAUCACCUUCGAGAUCGACAUGCAAGAGUCGGGUACGUCAGGCUACAUAACCGAGUUGUGGAAUGAUCAGUUCAGGGAGAAGUACGUGAUGCACAACCACUACAGGACUUUUGAAAGUCGUGAAGAAGCUUUGACCCAUCCACCCUUGCAUUUGAGCAUAGGAUGGACAAGUGGCACUGCUCUGCCGUUAUUUUCAAAAUUUAUAAAUUUUGGAAUUGGACGUCUUCUAGGGUAAAGCAAUUGGACGAGUGAAGCAGUUUCCCAUCAAGAAUAAAUUUGUUUUUCAAUUUCAAUACGAACAUUUUGGUUUUAUUAAUGAAAUAUAUUUGUUUCAUACUAUGCUAUUAAUAUAAUAAAUUUGUCAUGUAGUACUACGGUCUAAUAAUAUUAUCUUCCCUUUUAGUUUCGAUUUUUGCCAAAGGCAAAUUCGAACCAAAUUAUUAUAGUUAAUCCAUUGUGAGGCUUGACCUACUUCCCACCCUUUAGUGUAGAAAAU
rnacentral:lncRNA from 1 species